UGAUUGUGCUGCUGCCACAUUAUUAGCCUAUUGGGUAAUUGCAUAAAUGACCAGAACUGCAGUAUGUGUUUAGCAUGUGAAACUCACCCACUUGCCGACUCCAGAACAUUCUCUCAAAGGAUGCAGACAUUUGUUCAGAAACUGUUAUCAGAUACAAGCAGUCAAUCAGGAGACUGUGGUUAGCACACUAAACAUACACCACAGCCAUGAUUUUUAUAGGAGAACCAAUCCAAGCUCUUACAUAUUACUUCGGCUGCAUUUGAACAUUUCACUGAUGGGAUGAAAACCAACACCUCCAUGUCCAAAAAGAGUGAGAUGCUCCCUUCAGGUGAAAAGACAUCUUGGAAUCUUUGGAAUAUUGACAAUUGAUGAAAAAGAGCACGUGAGAUUGACUAACGGAUCAGGUCAGCAGCAGUGUUACUGUUUCGGCGAUUUGUUCGAUGCAGGGGAAACGGCUGAACCAGGGAUGGAUUAACGCACUCUCUCGCAUGCCGUAGAUAAAAAGACCUUUAUUUUUCCUGACAAAAACAAAUAAUGAAUGAACACUUGUUGAAAUGAAACCUUACUAUUGAAUUUAGUGUAAAAUGACUUAUUGUGAAUUGGCGUGCAGGAGCGUGGUCAAAAAAGGUGUGCUUCCCAGCUCUCCAUUUCCAUCCGCACCUGAUGGAAGAUUAACCCGCGUUAAAUGCACCUCCCAUACCACACGUGACCCUUGAACCAGGAGGAAACGCACCACCAAACCUCACAAACACAACACAAUCCCAAACAAACAGAUCAAAAACAGCCCCAAAUUCCAACUCCACAAAACAAUGGCAUAAUGGCUAUAACAGUUACAGUCGCUGUGCCGGUGUGUGGUGAUGAAGCAGGACCGCAGGAAUUUUCAUUCGAAGCUGUUUACUCGUCAAUCUAUGUGCCUGGUGAGAUAUGGUGGAGCUCUGCAAUUUGGGAGGACCUCAGCUUAGAGCCAAAUUAAGAGGAGCCAGUUGAGGUGGUUUGGGUGGUUGGUGCACAUUACCCUGUUCAGCUGCAUCAGGCGUGUUGCCUCGGGGCAGACCCAGGGCCUGCUGGAGAAUCAUGUGGCAAGGUUGGACUGGGGGAAUCCACUCUGAGAAGCUGGAAUCUGUGGCCAGGGACAGAGAAGUCUGGACUGACCUUCUCAGCCUGUUGUUACCAUGACUGGGUUUGUGUCUACACAUAAACCUGACCUUAACAUCAAAUAAAAAGAAACGGCUGUGACUACAAGAAAAUCUGAAAAGUAACUAUUGACAGGAAUGUUACCGAGUGUAAUCUGCAGCAGAAUAUACUAUAUCGAAUGAUGAAUAGUCUUUACUAUUUCUUGUGUAUGUAUAAUCUAGAGGUGUCUAGAAACAUAUAAGGAAGUUCAUUAUGAUAAAUACUUUGAACUGUUAUAAUUUGAAGACAUUUGAAUUUACAGGCAUCUCUAAAGAAUUCCAAAACAGGAGUGGGUGGCUGACUUUGAAAUUGUAAAACAAGUGUUCUACUUGCAUUAAUAUUAAGGUCAGGGAGCCAUACAUUUACUCCGUUUAUAGACUAAUGCAUCUAAUAAAGCAGUUAUUCACACACUGACAUCUUUGUGAGUGAUCGCUAAUAUGUCAUUUGUUUUGUAUUUGAUACAUAUGUAUAUUUUUUUUUACUUGCACUAAUAAAGUUAAAGGAUGUAAUCCAAUAAAGGCCAGCUCUGUUUUGCUCUGCUCUGACCUUUAGAAGGAAUCAAUAAUUAAUGAAUCAAUCGCAUCCUUAUACCACAAUACUACUGCUCGAUUCAAUCUGAUUGGUCUGAAUGUGUUGAUGAAUUUUCUGAAACAACUAACUUACAGGGACUUGUAUGGCAAAAACGUCCACCUAAUCCAAGUCAUUAUUUAGACUUUUUUAGCACACUGUAGGACAUGCUAUUAUUGUCCCCAACUGUUAAGAAAAAAUCCUUCCUGCUGAUAAACAUACAGUGGAUUCCAAAAGUAUUCAGACCCCUUUUAUUUAUGGCACGCUUUAUCCUGUUUUUUAUCCUGUCUUUAUCCUGGAUUUGCGAACGAAGGAGACGCUUCUAGAGACAUAUCCGAGAGGACUUUUAGCUGUAAC
ensembl:lncRNA